rnacentral:rRNA from 1 species
GAUGAACGCUGGCGGCGUGCCUAAUACAUGCAAGUCGAGCGAACUGAUUAGAAGCCUGCUUCUAUGACGUUAGCGGCGGACGGGUGAGUAACACGUGGGCAACCUGCCUGUAAGACUGGGAUAACUUCGGGAAACCGAAGCUAAUACCGGAUAGGAUCUUCUCCUUCAUGGGAGAUGAUUGAAAGAUGGUUUCGGCUAUCACUUACAGAUGGGCCCGCGGUGCAUUAGCUAGUUGGUGAGGUAACGGCUCACCAAGGCAACGAUGCAUAGCCGACCUGAGAGGGUGAUCGGCCACACUGGGACUGAGACACGGCCCAGACUCCUACGGGAGGCAGCAGUAGGGAAUCUUCCGCAAUGGACGAAAGUCUGACGGAGCAACGCCGCGUGAGUGAUGAAGGCUUUCGGGUAGUAAAACUCUGUUGUUAGGGAAGAAUAAGUACAAGAGUAACUGCUUGUACCUUGACGGUACCUAACCAGAAAGCCACGGCUAACUACGUGCCAGCCGCCGCGGUAACAC